GGAGAUUUAUGUUCGCAGGAGAGAUGGCACUAAUUGUGCUACAACUACAAGCAAUUGUUGCCAUCUUUCCCGUGACCAAAAAGCUCU
ncrna:Malus domestica miR3627b stem-loop (mdm-MIR3627b)